CUUAAGGAAAAACAAGAGACAAGUUCGGCCAAGAGAGGGAGUAAAUUAACCCUUCAAAUUUCAUCCCCAAAAAUUAUAAUUUCCUAGUAUUCCUACUAAGUCAAGGGUGCUCUACAACAUGGUGUAAUUGUUUUGGAAGUUUGGAGACUUGUUUAGUUGAUUUGGAGAGUUGGAGAAGUGAAGUAAAAGAUUUUGGAGGAAACGGGAAUUGAACUUGGACAACCGUAAAAGGCCAAAAAGGUACCGAAGUUUGAUUUGCUGAUCCGCCGGUUUAGGACAUCUGCUGUGUUAUUGACAGAGCUCUCUUAUUCGGAGCUUGCAUUUUGGUACUAACUUUAUCUCUGUAUAUUUAGAUAUGUUGGUCAGGGGUACGACGGGGCCCUGUCCCGUCUUAUGACUAUGCUAUCAUCUGUAGAGGUCUGUAGAUAGAGUUAUAUUGUGGGUUUUGUACAUAUGUCUUGGAUUUUGUUUGUUUCAUGACGGUCUA